rnacentral:misc_RNA from 1 species
GAGUGCAAAAAUUUCAUGGUUUUGAAAGGGCACAAAAAUGCAGUUCUGGAUCUUCACUGGACCACUGACGGAUACCAGAUAAUAUCAGCAAGCCCAGAUAAAACUGUCAGAGCAUGGGAUAUUGAGACAGGGAAACAGAUUAAGAAAAUGGCAGAGCACUCAUCUUUUGUAAAUUCAUGUUGUCCGUCAAGGAGAGGGCCUCCACUCAUUGUCAGUGGAUCUGAUGAUGGAACUGCAAAACUUUGGGAUAUGCGACAGAGGGGUGCCAUCCAAACAUUUCCAGAUAAAUACCAAAUCACAGCAGUCAGUUUUUCUGAUGCAUCAGAUAAGAUCUUCACAGGUGGUAUAGACAAUGAUGUUAAGGUUUGGGACUUGCGCAAAGGUGAAGUAACCAUGAAACUUGAAGGCCAUCAAGACAUGAUAACUGGCAUGCAGUUGAGUCCCGAUGGCUCAUAUCUUCUUACUAAUGGUAUGGACUGCAAGCUCUGCAUUUGGGAUAUGCGUCCUUAUGCACCACAGAAUCGCUGUGUUAAGGUACUGGAAGGGCACCAACACAACUUUGAAAAGAACUUGUUGAAAUGCAGCUGGUCACCUG